rnacentral:rRNA from 1 species
GAGUUUGAUCCUGGCUCAGAUUGAACGCUGGCGGCAGGCCUAACACAUGCAAGUCGAGCGGAUGAAGGGAGCUUGCUCCUGGAUUCAGCGGCGGACGGGUGAGUAAUGCCUAGGAAUCUGCCUGGUAGUGGGGAUAACGUCCGGAAACGGGCGCUAAUACCGCAUACGUCCUGAGGGAGAAAGUGGGGGAUCUUCGGACCUCACGCUAUCAGACGAGCCUAGGUCGGAUUAGCUAGUUGGUGGGGUAAAGGCCUACCAAGGCGACGAUCCGUAACUGGUCUGAGAGGAUGAUCAGUCACACUGGAACUGAGACACGGUCCAGACUCCUACGGGAGGCAGCAGUGGGGAAUAUUGGACAAUGGGCGAAAGCCUGAUCCAGCCAUGCCGCGUGUGUGAAGAAGGUCUUCGGAUUGUAAAGCACUUUAAGUUGGGAGGAAGGGCAGUAAGUUAAUACCUUGCUGUUUUGACGUUACCAACAGAAUAAGCACCGGCUAACUUCGUGCCAGCCGCCGCGGU